rnacentral:rRNA from 1 species
UGGGGAAUAUUGCACAAUGGGCGAAAGCCUGAUGCAGCGACGCCGCGUGAGGGAUGACGGCCUUCGGGUUGUAAACCUCUUUCAGCAGGGAAGAAGCGAAAGUGACGGUACCUGCAGAAGAAGCGCCGGCUAACUACGUGCCAGCAGCCGCGGUAAUACGUAGGGCGCAAGCGUUGUCCGGAAUUAUUGGGCGUAAAGAGCUCGUAGGCGGUUAGUCGCGUCUGCUGUGAAAACUCGAGGCUCAACCUCGGGCUUGCAGUGGGUACGGGCUGACUAGAGUGCGGUAGGGGGUGACUGGAAUUCCUGGUGUAGCGGUGGAAUGCGCAGAUAUCAGGAGGAACACCGAUGGCGAAGGCAGGUCACUGGGCCGCAACUGACGCUGAGGAGCGAAAAGCAUGGGGAGCGAACAGGAUUAGAUACCCUGGUAGUCCAUGCCGUAAAACGUUGGGCACUAGGUGUGGGGUCCAUUUCCACGGAUUCCGUGCCGCAGCAAACGCAUUAAAGUGCCCCGCCUGGGGAGUACGGCCGCAAGGCUAAAAC